ensembl:lncRNA PSMB8-AS1 PSMB8 antisense RNA 1 (head to head)
UCCACAUCCCCCUGCCUUUUCCGAGAAAAGGACAGUUAGUGCCUGGACCAGGACCAUCACACUGGGGACCGGCUUCUCUGCUCUCCCGUUAUGGGGGUCGGGGGAAUGAUGGGUCAAGGGUCUUCCGAAGAAAGCGAGAAAGGAACAGGCGCCUUCAAAAGCCCACUUGGCGAUGGGUUACAGUAAGAGGAAGUCUGCAUUAUCACGAGGAGCUUGGAAAGGAGGUAACACACUCAAGGCAAAUUUCAAGUAACUCAUCCUGGAGGCAGCUGCCUACUCUGCAGCUGUGGUUCUCCACCACAGAGAGAAGAAAAGGGAGGGAGAUGGAGUGCGCAGGUCUGAGAAGGCUUUCAUUCUGGAGCAUCUGCAGGAGCCUGCACCAUGGCCCAGUAGCACCCCUUUUUCUCCAUGAGCUGCUGGUGGGUUCCCCCCUCCCGGAUAGCGCCUCCUUCCAGAAAGAGGAUGUGGUCAGCCUGCUCCACCAGGCUGAGGUGCUGGGUGAUGAGAAGCACUGAGCGGGAGUACCGCUCAGGGCUUUCGUACAGGAGCUGCUCCACCUGAGGAAAGACAUCGGACCGUCAGAGCCGGGGACUACCCUCAGCCCAGGGAGACACCUGUGUUUCCAGGGCUGGGACUGACCUCACAGGAUCACUGCUGGCUCUGCUAACAACCCCAAGGACACCAACGUUUCCCAUUCUGAGUACUUCUCCGCAAACCCUUUGUUUCAUUAAGGACUGUUUUACAUGAAGGGUGCAAAAGUAGGAUAAAAAUGAGAACCCUAGGGUGAAACACGUGACAGAAGAAUAAAGACUAUUGAAUAGUCCUCUUCUCUACCCAUGGACUUGGCAUUUUUAUAUUCGAUUUUAAGGAAAUAUAACUUAGUAGUAAAGAGAUGAGCAUUCAAGUCAGGCAGACCUGAAUUUGGGUCAAGGCUGCGCCACUCAAAAGCUAUAUGACCUCUAUAUGAGCAGCUUAUUCAACCUCUUUUAACCUCCAUUUUGUCAUCUGUAGAAUGAUGAUAAAUGCCUAGCUCAGAAGGAUUCCUAAUGAAUAAAUGAGUGACAGUGCAUGUAAACAGACUAGCUUAAUUAAUAUUAAUAUGAUUAGGAUGGGCUGGGCCCAGUGGCUCAUGCCUAUAAUCCUAGCACUUUGGGAGGUCAAGGAGGGAGGAUCACUUGGGCCCAGGAGUUCAAGGCCAGCCUGGGCAACAUAGCGGGACGCUGUCUGUACAAAAAAUAAUUUUUUUAAAUAAACGAUAUUAUGAGGA